rnacentral:rRNA from 1 species
UACGUAGGGGGGCAAGCGUUGUCCGGAUUUAUUGGGCGUAAAGAGCGUGUAGGCGGCCAGAUAGGUCCGUUGUGAAAACUCGAGGCUCAACCUCGAGACGCCGAUGGAAACCAUUUGGCUAGAGUCCGGAAGAGGAGAGUGGAAUUCCUGGUGUAGCGGUGAAAUGCGCAGAUAUCGGGAGGAACACCAAUGGCGAAGGCAGCUCGCUGGGACGGUACUGACGCUGAGACGCGAAAGCGUGGGGAGCAAACAGG